AGAGUUGAUCCUGGCUCAGGAUGAACGCUAGCGACAGGCUUAACACAUGCAAGUCGAGGGGCAUCACGAGAGUAGCAAUACAACUGGUGGCCGACCGGCGCACGGGUGAGUAACGCGUAUGCAACCUACCUAUCAGAGGGGAAUAACCCGGCGAAAGUCGGACUAAUACCGCAUAAAACAGGGGCACCGCAUGGUGAUAUUUGUUAAAGAAAUUCGCUGAUAGAUGGGCAUGCGUUCCAUUAGGUAGUUGGUGAGGUAACGGCUCACCAAGCCGACGAUGGAUAGGGAACUGGGAGGUUGGUCCCCCACACUGGUACUGAGACACGGACCAGACUCCUACGGGAGGCAGCAGUGAGGAAUAUUGGUCAAUGGGCGGGAGCCUGAACCAGCCAAGUCGCGUGAAAGGAAGAAGGAUCUAUGGUUCGUAAACUUCUUUUGCAGGGGAAUAAAGUGCAGGACGUGUCCUGUUUUGUAUGUGCCCUGAGAAUAAGGAUCGGCUAACUCCGUGCCAGCAGCAGC
rnacentral:rRNA from 1 species